CCCUAUUAUUUUUAAAUUAGAUUUUACUAUUAAAGUAGUUAUUUCCUUAGAAUAAAAAGAAUUUGGCGGUAAUUUAGUCUAGCCAGAGGAAUUUGUGAUUUAAUCGAUAUGACCCGUUGAAUUUCACUUACUUUAAAAGUCUGUAUACCGUCAUUAUCAAAUAAUAUUUAAAAAUAAUUAUUGAGUUCAGUUGAACUGUAGAAAUUAGAUCAUGGUGCAGCUGAUAGGUAAGGAAUUAUGAAUUACAAUAAAUCUAUUUAUACGGAUUAGCGGUUGUAAGGGCCCUAUAAAGGAGGAUUUGGUUGUAUUCAAGGCUUAAUAUACCUUUAAGAUAUAAGGUCUAAAUUAUGUACAC
rnacentral:rRNA from 1 species